GUCAUAGCUCAGUCAGUAGGGCAUGGGAUGUCUAAUCUCAGGGUCAUGGGUCCGAGCCCCAUGUUGGGCA